UACGUAGGGUGCGAGCGUUAAUCGGAAUUACUGGGCGUAAAGCGCGUGUAGGCGGUUCGGUAAGUCCGCUGUGAAAGCCCUGGGCUCAACCUGGGAAUGGCAUUGGAAACUGGCGACCUAGAGUGCGGUAGAGGGUAGUGGAAUUCCCGGUGUAGCAGUGAAAUGCGUAGAGAUCGGGAGGAACAUCUGUGGCGAAGGCGGCCUUCUGGUCCAGUACUGACACUCAAGUGCGAAAGCGUGGGGAGCAAACAGG
rnacentral:rRNA from 1 species